GGGGCCUUAGCUCAGCUGGCUAGAGCGCCGCCCUUGCAAGGCGGAGGUCAUGGAUUCGAAUUCCAUAGGCUCCA
rfam:Lentisphaera araneosa HTCC2155 1101329224559, whole genome shotgun sequence.